AAGAAGAACCCGGAUAAAGUACCUAGUGGAGGAUCAAAGUCUUCAUCUCAUAACCUACCACCCAAAGUCAGAGAGAUGAAAGUUAAAGCUCAGAAACUCAAGAAUACAAGAGAUUACUCAUUUCUUUUAUCCGAUGAUGCAGAGCUUCCAGCACCUUCAAAAGCCCGUCCACCUCAGAAUAUGCCUAUACGGAACUCUGGGAACUUAUACAGGAUUUUUGCUGAUGUUGAAGAGGGACG